GAAGAUGGGGAUCUGGCUCACGAAUUCUAUGAGGAGACAAUCAUCACCAAGAAUGGGCAGAAGCGAUCCAACCUGAGGCGAGUACGUAAUAAUCUGAUUCCUCAGGGCAUCGUGAAGCUGGAACGCCCACAAAUCCACGUGGAUUUCCCUCUGAUCCUCUGUGAAGUAUGAGCCUGUGGCACGGCAGACACAAGCACCCCACUGCCCCAGCAAGAAACUCGCAGGAUCAAGGUGUAGCUUCCAUUCAGGAGUCCAGGCUUGUGCCACAACCCUCAAUAAACUGAACUCCGUUGGCCCA
rnacentral:lncRNA from 1 species